CUGGACCACAAGUACCCAUUUUGGGGGAUUUCCAGUGACAGUCCUACUCUCACUCCAUCACAUCGCUUCUAAAAUCUGAGUCACAUGGUUCAAAUUUCACAGUACGAAGUGUGUUCUUCAGAUCUGGGGUUCUCUCCAAAAUGGAUAAUCAUUAUUGGUUUUGUAAUGCAAUGCCAAGACCAUCAGUAAGUUUUUAUUUUACACGGCUCACUGUGGCUUUGACCUCCCAUGCUGAAGCGAUCCUCCCAUCUGAACCUCUCAAGUAGCUGGAAGCACAGGCAUGCACCACCACACCUGGCUAAUUUUUUUCUUCCUUUUUUAAAGAGACAGAGUCUCACCAUGUUGCCCAGGCCAUGUUGACCAGGAAAAAAAAAAGUUUUUUUUCUUUUUUAAAGAAAGAAAAUAAAAGAGACUGAGAAACCACAGAAAUAAAGAAGCGCUGAUGACAAUGCCUGCUUGCUGAUGGUUACGAUGAUCAUAGCAGUGUACAUUUUGUAUGCAUGAAGCCUGCAACUAAAUAAAUGUGUGGGGAAAUAUUUGUAAGGAAAUAAGCUAUUAAUAAGCUAAAAUCACAGUUGCUGGACUAUGA